rnacentral:rRNA from 1 species
GACGAACGCUGGCGGCGUGCUUAACACAUGCAAGUCGAACGGAAAGGCCCUGCUUUUGUGGGGUGCUCGAGUGGCGAACGGGUGAGUAACACGUGAGUAACCUGCCCUUGACUUUGGGAUAACUUCAGGAAACUGGGGCUAAUACCGGAUAGGAGCUCCUGCUGCAUGGUGGGGGUUGGAUAGUUUCGGCGGUUGGGGAUGGACUCGCGGCUUAUCAGCUUGCUGGUGGGGUAGUGGCUUACCAAGGCUUUGACGGGUAGCCGGCCUGAGAGGGUGACCGGCCACAUUGGGACUGAGAUACGGCCCAGACUCCUACGGGAGGCAGCAGUGGGGAAUAUUGCACAAUGGGCGGAAGCCUGAUGCAGCAACGCCGCGUGCGGGAUGACGGCCUUCGGGUUGUAAACCGCUUUCGCCUGUGACGAAGCGUGAGUGACGGUAAUGGGUAAAGAAGCACCGGCUAACUACGUG